GAUGAACGCUGGCGGCGUGCCUAAUACAUGCAAGUCGAGCGAACAGAUGAGGAGCUUGCUCCUCUGACGUUAGCGGCGGACGGGUGAGUAACACGUGGAUAACCUACCUAUAAGACUGGGAUAACUUCGGGAAACCGGAGCUAAUACCGGAUAAUAUAUUGAACCGCAUGGUUCAAUAGUGAAAGACGGUUUUGCUGUCACUUAUAGAUGGAUCCGCGCCGCAUUAGCUAGUUGGUAAGUUAACGGCUUACCAAGGCAACGAUGCGUAGCCGACCUGAGAGGGUGAUCGGCCACACUGGAACUGAGACACGGUCCAGACUCCUACGGGAGGCAGCAGUAGGGAAUCUUCCGCAAUGGGCGAAAGCUUGACGGAGCAACGCCGCGUGAGUGAUGAAGGUCUUCGGAUCGUAAAACUCUGUUAUUAGGGAAGAACAAAUGUGUAAGUAACUAUGCACGUCUUGACGGUACCUAAUCAGAAAGCCACGGCUAACUACGUG
rnacentral:rRNA from 1 species